rnacentral:rRNA from 1 species
GACGAACGCUGGCGGCGUGCUUAACACAUGCAAGUCGAACGGUAAGGCCCUUCGGGGUACACGAGUGGCGAACGGGUGAGUAACACGUGGGUGAUCUGCCCUGCACUUCGGGAUAAGCCUGGGAAACUGGGUCUAAUACCGGAUAGGACCAUUGCCUGCAUGGGUGGUGGUGGAAAGCUUUUGCGGGGUGGGAUGGGCCCGCGGCCUAUCAGCUUGUUGGUGGGGUGAUGGCCUACCAAGGCGACGACGGGUAGCCGGCCUGAGAGGGUGACCGGCCACACUGGGACUGAGAUACGGCCCAGGCUCCUACGGGAGGCAGCAGUGGGGAAUAUUGCACAAUGGGCGCAAGCCUGAUGCAGCGACGCCGCGUGAGGGAUGACGGCCUUCGGGUUGUAAACCUCUUUCAGCACCGACGAAGCGCAAGUGACGGUAGGUGCAGAAGAAGGACCGGCCAACUACGUGCCAGCAGCCGCCGUAA